AACGGUCUAUACCUGCGGUACCUGCGGAAGGAUCAUUACAUGGCGGAGAAGGUGGGCAACCUGGCCAACAUCCAGGUUGUGAUGCCUUCACGCUCUUCCACCCUUGUCUAUUUGCACCUUCUGUCGUUCCCUCGGCGGGUUUCGACCCGCCGGCGGCAACAUUGAAAAACCCUUUUUGCAGUUAGCAUUCAAUUCUUCUGAUCAAAUAUUAAAUCAUUACAACUUUUAACAAUGGAUCUC
rnacentral:misc_RNA from 1 species